UACGUAGGGGGCUAGCGUUGUCCGGAUUUAUUGGGCGUAAAGAGCGUGUAGGCGGUUAGGUAGGUCCGUUGUGAAAACUCGAGGCUCAACCUCGAGGCGCCGAUGGAAACCAUCUAACUAGAGUCCGGAAGAGGAGAGUGGAAUUCCUGGUGUAGCGGUGAAAUGCGCAGAUAUCAGGAAGAACACCCGUGGCUAAGGCGGCUCUCUAGUACGGUACUGACGCUGAGACGCGAAAGCGUGGGGAGCGAACAGG
rnacentral:rRNA from 1 species